rnacentral:rRNA from 1 species
AUUGAACGCUGGCGGCAGGCCUAACACAUGCAAGUCGAACGAGUGGCGGACGGGUGAGUAAUGUCUGGGAAACUGCCUGAUGGAGGGGGAUAACUACUGGAAACGGUAGCUAAUACCGCAUAACCUCAGAGUUGCCCAGAUGUGAUUAGCUUGUUGGUGGGGUAACGGCUCAACAAGGCGCCGAUACCGAGCUGGUCAGAGAGGAUGACCCGCCACACUGGAACUGAGAAACGGUCCAGACUCCUAAGGGAGGCAGCAGUGGGGAAUAUUGCACAAUGGGCGCAAGCCUGAUGCAGCCAUGCCGCGUGUAUGAAGAAGGCCGUCGGGUUGUAAAGUGCUUUCAGCGGGGAGGCGUUACCCGCUGAGGAAGCACCGGCUAACUCCGUGACAGCAGCCGCGGUAAUAC